UAACACGUGGAUAAUCUGCCCUGCACAGGGGGACAACAGCUAGAAAUGGCUGCUAAUACCGCAUAAGCCUACAGCCUCGCAUGAGGGAGUAGGAAAAGAAAUUCGGUGCAGGAUGAGUCCGCGUCUGAUUAGCUAGUUGGGGGGGUAAAAGCCCACCAAGGCAACGAUCAGUAGCCGGCCUGAGAGGGCGACCGGCCACAUUGGGACUGAGACACGGCCCAGACUCCUACGGAAGGCAGCAG
rnacentral:rRNA from 1 species